UUUCCCAUGCGUAUAUGGUUUAAUUAUUUGGCAAUUGAACCUUAGGUGUCGAAAGGAUCUGAUGCUGAGAUACUCGGAAUCCAAGAAGGUGAUCUUAUUGAAUGUAUGAAUGGAAAAUGCAUUUCUACCACAAUUGAGUUGGAAAAUACGUUGAUGAGCCUAUGUAAAGGCCUUUCAGACAGUCAAAAUGGCCAUAAUGCUGAAGUUUGUAUUUCUAUUGGGGUUUUUCACACACUCAAAAAAUACCGAAGUACCAGAGAGUUGACUGCGAAUGUAUCAGACCUUGGAGAAGUUAUUGCAAGAGGUACACGUCUCCUCUUUUAACUAGUUCCAUCUACAAAUUAUCUAGAUUAUCACUUCAUUCUCAAGUA